GGAACUCUGAAGUUUGGGGAAGAAUAUUUGAAUGGUUUCAUCCACCAAGCAUCUAACCAUUCAACCUUUACCUAGUCUUAACUUCAGGGCCUGGGCCCCCGGGAAGGUGGGUCCUGUUUGAAGGGUUGGAUGAAGGCAGACAAUUGGGGAGGGAUGUUUGGGGAAUAAAGGAAAGAAGGGAAGCUGAAUAUGGCCAGGAAGGAAAACAGAUCUGCCUGAUGGCUGUCAUUUAAAAAUCUCUUUGGUGGUCAUUUUCCUUCAGACGUCCUGGAAACUCAACAGGAAACAGCAAAACGAUUGGAGAGCAACUCAGGAGGGACCAUUUAGUACUUCUGGAGUCCUGGGUGCAAGGUUGGGGCCUGAGCCUCGGGAGUUGUCACCACUAGGAGCCAAGGCAAGAGAUGAAAAGGAAGAGAAAAUUGGGACACAGAUAACACAAAAAGGCCACCUGCAAGCCAAGGAGAUGGUGAUCUCAGAAGAAACGAGACCUACUGAAACCUUGAUCAUGGACUUUUAACCUCCAGAACUGUGAGAAAAUAAAUCUCAGUUGUUUUAA